rnacentral:rRNA from 1 species
UGAGGAAUAUUGCGCAAUGGGCGAAAGCCUGACGCAGCGACGCCGCGUGGAGGAUGAAGGUCUUCGGAUUGUAAACUCCUUUUUGAGGGGACGAAAAAAAUGACGGUACCCUUAGAAUAAGCCACGGCUAACUACGUGCCAGCAGCCGCGGUAAUACGUAGGGUGCGAGCGUUAAUCGGAAUUACUGGGCGUAAAGCGUGCGCAGGCGGUUUUGUAAGUCAGAUGUGAAAUCCCCGGGCUCAACCUGGGAACUGCAUUUGAGACUGCAAGGCUAGAGUGUGGCAGAGGGGGGUGGAAUUCCACGUGUAGCAGUGAAAUGCGUAGAGAUGUGGAGGAACACCGAUGGCGAAGGCAGCCCCCUGGGCCAAUACUGACGCUCAUGCACGAAAGCGUGGGGAGCAAACAGG